CACGCCGUAAACGUUGUGCACUAGGUGUGGGAGGUAUCGACCCCUUCCGUGCCGAAGCUAACGCAUUAAGUGCACCGCCUGGGGAGUACGGUCGCAAGACUGAAACUCAAAGGAAUUGACGGGGGCCCGCACAAGCGGUGGAGCAUGUGGUUUAAUUCGAGGCAACGCGAAGAACCUUACCCAGGCUUGACAUCCCGAGACCGCCAUGGAAACAUGGUUUCCCCUUCGGGGGCUCGUAGACAGGUGU
rnacentral:rRNA from 1 species